GUCGGCAUAGUUCAACUGGAUAGAAUGGGGGCCUCCGAAGUCUCUGAUCCGGGUUCGAAUCCCGGUGCUGACA
rnacentral:tRNA from 1 species